rnacentral:rRNA from 1 species
UUGGAGGGCAAGUCUGGUGCCAGCAGCCGCGGUAAUUCCAGCUCCAAUAGCGUAUAUUAAAGUUGUUGCAGUUAAGAAGCUCGUAGUUGAAUUUCGGGAUCAAAUAAUCGGUCGUGCCUCCGGUACGUACUGGUUUUAUUGGUUCCUCCCUUCUGACGAACCAUGAUGUCAUUAAUUUGAUGUGGUGGAGAGUCAGGACUGUUACCUUGAAAAAAUUAGAGUGUUUAAAGCAGGCUUUAGCUUGAAUACAUUAGCAUGGAAUAAUGAAAUAGGACGUUUGAUCCUGUUUUGUUGGUUUCUAGGAUUGAUGUAAUGAUUAAUAGGGAUAGUUGGGGGCAUUAGUAUUCAAUUGUCAGAGGUGAAAUUCUUGGAUUUAUUGAAGACUAACUACUGCGAAAGCAUUUGCCAAGGAUGUUUUCAUUAAUCAAGAACGAAAGUUAGGGGAUCGAAGACGAUCAGAUACCGUCGUAGUCUUAACCAUAAACUAUGCCGACUAGGGAUCGGACGAUGUUAAUUUUUUAAUGACUCGUUCGGCGCCUUACGGGAAAC